rnacentral:rRNA from 1 species
CCUACGGGUGGCAGCAGUGAGGAAUAUUGGUCAAUGGGCGGGAGCCUGAACCAGCCAAGCCGCGUGAGGGACGAAGGUACAGCGUAUUGUAAACCUCUUUUGUCAGGGAACAAAGGCGGGGACGAGUGCCCGGACGAGGGUACCUGAAGAAAAAGCAUCGGCUAACUCCGUGCCAGCAGCCGCGGUAAUACGGAGGAUGCGAGCGUUAUCCGGUUUUAUUGGGUUUAAAGGGGGCGUAGGCGGGCUGUUAAGGCAGCGGUAAAAGCCCGGGGCUCAACCCCGGCGAGCCGUUGAAACUGGCGGGCUUGAGUUGGAGAGAGGUACGCGGAAUGCGCGGUGUAGCGGUGAAAUGCUUAGAUAUCGCGCAGAACCCCGAUUGCGAAGGCAGCAUACCGGCUCCCCACUGACGCUGAGGCACGAAAGCGUGGGUAUCGAACAGGAUUAGAUACCCGGGUAGUC